AGCUCCAAUAGCGUAUAUUAAAGUUGCUGCGGUUAAAAAGCUCGUAGUUGGAUCUCAGUCUCGAUCGGACGGUCCAUCGCAUGAUGGUUACUGUACUAUCGGACAUUUGGCCGCGUUCUCGUGUAUCCUCUUCAUUGAGUGUACUCGAGGAGCGGCACGUUUACUUUGAAAAAAUUAGAGUGCUCAAAGCAGGCUUUCCGCCUGAAUCUUCGUGCAUGGAAUGAUGGAAUAGGGCCUCGGUUCUAUUUUGUUGGUUUCCGGAACUCGAGGUAAUGAUUAAGAGGGACGGACGGGGGCAUUCGUAUUGCGACGUUAGAGGUGAAAUUCUUAGAUCGUCGCAAGACGAACUACUGCGAAAGCAUUUGCCAAGAAUGUUUUCA
rnacentral:rRNA from 1 species